rnacentral:rRNA from 1 species
CUGUCACUCCUACGGGGAGGCAGCAGUGGGGGAAUAUUGCACAAUGGGCGCAAGCCUGAUGCAGCCAUGCCGCGUGUAUGAAGAAGGCCUUCGGGUUGUAAAGUACUUUCAGCAGUGAGGAAGGUGGAUAUGUUAAUAGCAUAUUCAUUUGACGUUAGCUGCAGAAGAAGCACCGGCUAACUCCGUGCCAGCAGCCGCGGUAAUACGGAGGGUGCGAGCGUUAAUCGGAAUUACUGGGCGUAAAGCGCAUGCAGGUGGUUUGUUAAGUCAGAUGUGAAAGCCCCGGGCUCAACCUGGGAAUUGCAUUUGAAACUGGCAAACUAGAGUACUGUAGAGGGGGGUAGGAAUUUCAGGUGUAGCGGUGAAAUGCGUAGAGAUCUGAAGGAAUACCGGUGGCGAAGGCGGCCCCCUCGGACAGAUACUGACACUCAGAUGCGAAAGCGUGGGGAGCAAACAGGAUUAGAUACCCUGGUAG